CUAAUCCCUUAAAGCCAUUCUCAGUUCGGAUUGUAGGCUGAAACUCGCCUACAGGAAGCUGGAGUUACUAGUAAUCGCAGAUCAGAAUGCUGCGGUGAAUGCGUUCCCGGGUCUUGUACACACCGCCCGUCACACCACGGAAGUUGGGGGCGCCCGAAGCCACUUAGCUAACCCUUUUGGGAAGCGAGUGUCGAAGGUGAAAUCAAUAACUGGGGUGAAGUCGUAACAAGGUAUC
rnacentral:rRNA from 1 species